rnacentral:rRNA from 1 species
GACGAACGCUGGCGGCGUGCUUAACACAUGCAAGUCGAACGGAAAGGCCCUGCUUUUGUGGGGUGCUCGAGUGGCGAACGGGUGAGUAACACGUGAGUAACCUGCCCUUGACUUUGGGAUAACUUCAGGAAACUGGGGCUAAUACCGGAUAGGAGCUCCUGCUGCAUGGUGGGGGUUGGAAAGUUUCGGCGGUUGGGGAUGGACUCGCGGCUUAUCAGCUUGUUGGUGGGGUAGUGGCUUACCAAGGCUUUGACGGGUAGCCGGCCUGAGAGGGUGACCGGCCACAUUGGGACUGAGAUACGGCCCAGACUCCUACGGAAGGCAGCGGUGGGGAAUAUUGCACAAUGGGCGGAAGCCUGAUGCAGCAACGCCGCGUGCGGGAUGACGGCCUUCGGGUUGUAAACCGCUUUCGCCUGUGACGAAGCGUGAGUGACGGUAAUGGGUAAAGAAGCACCGGCUAACUACGUG